GAGCAACUCUGAGGUACCGCGCUGUCAGCGUCAGACUCGUCCAGUAGGCGUCAGGCCCAGAACGGAGGAACCGCGCCUCCGAAAGGAUAACAAUUUGCAGGGUCGGAGAAAGUAUUCUCUGAAUAAGGCAACUAAUGCCUGAACGUCGACGCGGAGCAGCCCUACCACAACCGCUGACACAAGCAUGUGACUACGGGGUUACACCUUCCCGACGAGUGUGUCGUAGACACAGCCAGAAAUUGAUCAGGCGCGGCUAGCGAGCAAUGCCACGCUGGCGAGGUGAAGACAACUUUUAACCGUCAGGGUGUCACAUGCAGAUGCGGGGGGACAGCCUCAGCACCUAAGUAGUCCUGUGUUGCCAUAUAGGACGACAGCCCUGACGUCGUUGACCUACCUCACGUAAUCGAUGGAGGUACCUAGGGAAACCGUAAGCACAUAACCAGCAAUAUGGCCCAAGCUAGGUCCAUUCCCUUGUUUCACGUGACCACGAAGGAUAGCCUUAAUUGGACCCCUGUUCUCUGUGUGUCAUCCUGUACCUCACCCGCGGCAACGGGAUGGAGGGCGUGUCCGUAGAGACUCUGUUACCGUCACAAACAGUCAGCCGGGGAGCGGAAACAGGAAGAACGGACACAGCGGCACACUCACCAAUUUUCCCGUCGCUCAAGACGCAUAUGCGCUUCACCUGUUUCCGAGUGGUCCACGUGUUUAGAACACUCAAAACCCCAAUUGGAGAAAGCCCGUUUCAACCUCGUUUUGUCUCGUGGACUGGCAGAUGCUGCCGCCAUUCGUUCGUGAGAGCGGCCUACUGCCGGGUGGGUGGUUUGCAAUUCGCAAG
rnacentral:lncRNA from 1 species